UAUCACAGUCAUCUUGACGUGUC
rnacentral:miRNA from 1 species